rnacentral:pre_miRNA from 1 species
CCCCCACCCAUGUAUAUAGGACCCCAAAGGAUCACCAUUAAAGUUAGCGCGAAUCUUUAGAAAAGUUAUCACAUAGGUGUGGGACUUGACUUUUCUAUAGAUCCAUGCUAAAUUUAAUGAUGAUCAUUUGGGGUCUUACACACAUGGGUGGGGG